GUAGUCGUGGCUGGGUGGUUAAGGCGAUGUACUAGAAAUCCAUUUGGGCUCUGCCCGCGCUGGAUCGAAUACUGCCGACUACG